CCUACGGGAGGCAGCAGUGAGGAAUAUUGGUCAAUGGGCGGGAGCCUGAACCAGCCAAGUCGCGUGAGGGAAGACGGUCCUAUGGAUUGUAAACCUCUUUAGGCGGGGAGCAAUGCCGGGCACGCGUGCCCGGAGGGAGAGUACCCGCAGAAUAAGCAUCGGCUAACUCCGUGCCAGCAGCCGCGGUAAUACGGAGGAUGCGAGCGUUAUCCGGAUUUAUUGGGUUGAAAGGGUGCGUAGGCGGUCCGGAAAGUCAGCGGUAAAAGCCCGGGGCUCAACCUCGGCGAGCCGGUGAAACUGUCGGACUAGAGACGGCGAGAAGUACGCGGAAUGCGCGGUGUAUAGGUGAAAUGCAGAGAGAGCGCGCAGAAUGCUGAUUGCGAAGGCAGCGUACCGGCGCCGGACUGACGCGGAGGCACGAAAGCGUGGGUAUCGAACAGGAUUAGAUACCCCAGUAGUC
rnacentral:rRNA from 1 species